UAAAGAAAGCGUAAUAGCUCACUAGUCUAAAUAAGUUUUCUUGCGCCAACAAUGUAACGGGGCUCAAGUCAUGUACCGAAGAUGCGGAUUUAUGCAUUUGGCAUAAAUGGUAGCGGAGCGUUCCGUAAGCCUGUGAAGGUAAACCGUAAGGUUUGCUGGAGGUAUCGGAAGUGAGAAUGCUGACAUAAGUAGCGAUAAAGAAUGUGAGAAACAUUCUCGCCGAAAGUCCAAGGGUUCUUGCGUAAAGUUAAUCUGCACAAGGUUAGUCGGCUCCUAAGAUGAGGCUGAAAGGCGUAAUCGAUGGGAAUCAGGUUAAUAUUCCUGAACCUGAAGGAUGUGACGAAAAUAGUAAAUUGUACAGUCUUAUUGGAUUGAUUGUGCAGUGAAUAUUUUCCAGGAAAUAACACCUUCAUUAUAGACCGUACCCGAAACCGACACAGGUGGUCAGGUAGAGCAUACCAAGG
rnacentral:rRNA from 1 species